AUAACACAGCUGAGACAAGCAGAGAGAGAGAGACACAGAGAGAGAGAGAGACAAAGAGAGAGAGAGAGAGAGAGAGAGAGAGAGAGAAGACCAGAAAGGAGAAGUUAAGGAGCAAAGCUUUCUGAAGGUUUUCUCGAGUAGUAAUAUGACAGAGAAGCUUCUUUCAUGAGACAAAAAUGUAAGGGUUAUGCUUCACUCCAAAAUCAAAACAAAUACAAUGAGAUGCUUAAUCUGGAAUUAAUGGCAAUGAUGUUUUAUUUGUAUAUUUUCAGUUCUCCUUUUAGUUUUCGUAAUAUUGUUGUGCUUUUGUCAGUUUUUGUGCUUUAUUUUUAUUUCAUGUUUAUUUUUAGCAGAUUUAGCACUUAAACUCAUUUUACUUCAGUUAGUUGCAAUAUUUCUAGAUUUCAUUUGAACAAUUUUAAUUUUGUAAUGUUAUCAUUUGGCUUUCGAGGAGGAGUGGAGAGGUGUAGGCAAGAAUCGUGGAGAGGCACAAUGGGUGUGCUUCAUGCUUUCCCCGGAACAAAACGCUUCCUUACAAGGAAUUAAGGAAGGAGAUCCUGGGCCGGAUGGGGCUAUCACCAAUCAGUGCUGCCCAACUUUUCAACGAGUGGACCUUCGACCCGCGGCAGCCGGCCCGGGGUCAAGCGGCUAGUCAAGGAUCUGCCAGUACUGGUCCUCCUUGGUAGGGACUGGCCAGGGUUCGACCGCUUACUCCCGCAGUGAUUCAGCCUGUCAGCCCCGCUGGGAACCGCCCAACCCGGAAGUCCAUCAAGAAGUCCCGACGGCGUCUCAUGUUGCUGGCCUCGGACAGCCCCAAGGAUGGGAGCAGUGUGUGACCACCAGCCCCGCUGCACACGGGAGAGCACGGACCCACACCGCACCAGCUCACCAAUCAAAGAGGAAGCCAAGCACCGAGAACCAAACCACCGCACACCACGCCCUUUUAAUAAAAUCCACCCUUCGGGAAACUUAACUGCA